rnacentral:rRNA from 1 species
GCUCAGGACGAACGCUGGCGGCGUGCUUAACACAUGCAAGUCGAACGCUGAAGCACCAGCUUGCUGGUGUGGAUGAGUGGCGAACGGGUGAGUAAUACGUGAGUAACCUGCCCUUGACUCUGGGAUAAGCCCGGGAAACUGGGUCUAAUACUGGAUGYUACAUGUCACCGCAUGGUGGUGUGUGGAAAGGGUUUACUGGUCUUGGAUGGGCUCACGGCCUAUCAGCUUGUUGGUGAGGUAAUGGCUCACCAAGGCGACGACGGGUAGCCGGCCUGAGAGGGUGACCGGCCACACUGGGACUGAGACACGGCCCAGACUCCUACGGGAGGCAGCAGUGGGGAAUAUUGCACAAUGGGCGAAAGCCUGAUGCAGCGACGCCGCGUGAGGGAUGACGGCCUUCGGGUUGUAAACCUCUUUCAGCAGGGAAGAAGCCACAAGUGACGGUACCUGCAGAAGAAGCGCCGGCUAACUACGUGCCAGCAGCCGCGGUAAUACGUAGGGCGCAAGCGUUGUCCGGAAUUAUUGGGCGUAAAGAGCUCGUAGGCGGUUUGUCGCGUCUGCUGUGAAAGCCCGGGGCUUAACCCCGGGUGUGCAGUGGGUACGGGCAGACUAGAGUGCAGUAGGGGAGACUGGAAUUCCUGGUGUAGCGGUGGAAUGCGCAGAUAUCAGGAGGAACACCGAUGGCGAAGGCAGGUCUCUGGGCUGUUACUGACGCUGAGGAGCGAAAGCAUGGGGAGCGAACAGGAUUAGAUACCCUGGUAGUCCAUGCCGUAAACGUUGGGCACUAGGUGUGGGGGACAUUCCACGUUUUCCGCGCCGUAGCUAACGCAUUAAGUGCCCCGCCUGGGGAGUACGGCCGCAAGGCUAAAACUCAAAGGAAUUGACGGGGGCCCGCACAAGCGGCGGAGCAUGCGGAUUAAUUCGAUGCAACGCGAAGAACCUUACCAAGGCUUGACAUAUACCGGAUCGUUCCAGAGAUGGUUCUUCCCCUUUGGGGUCGGUAUACAGGUGGUGCA